UGUGAUAAAUAUCAUGACCAGAAGCAAC
rnacentral:piRNA from 1 species